rnacentral:rRNA from 1 species
GAGGAACACCAAUGGCGAAGGCACAUCUCUGGGCCGUAACUGACGCUGAGGAGCGAAAGCGUGGGGAGCGAACAGGAUUAGAUACCCUGGUAGUCCACGCCGUAAACGGUGGGUGCUAGUUGUGGGCCACAUUCCACGUGGUCCGUGACGAAGUUAACACAUUAAGCACCCCGCCUGGGGAGUACGGUCGCAAGACUAAAACUCAAAGGAAUUGACGGGGGCCCGCACAAGCGGCGGAGCAUGCGGAUUAAUUCGAUGCAACGCGAAGAACCUUACCAAGGCUUGACAUAUAGAGGAAACGUGCAGAAAUGUACGCCCCGCAAGGUCUCUAUACAGGUGGUGCAUGGUUGUCGUCAGCUCGUGUCGUGAGAUGUUGGGUUAAGUCCCGCAACGAGCGCAACCCUCGUCCUAUGUUGCCAGCACGUAAUGGUGGGAACUCAUGGGAGACUGCCGGGCUCAACUCGGAGGAAGGUGGGGAUGACGUCAAAUCAUCAUGCCCCUUAUGUCUUGGGCUGCACGCAUGCUACAAUGGCUGGUACAAACGGCUGCGAUACCGCAAGGUGGAGCGAAUCCGAUAAAGCCAGUCUCAGUUCGGAUUGGGGUCUGCAACUCGACCCCAUGAAGUCGGAGUUGCUAGUAAUCGUAGAUCAGCAACGCUACGGUGAUACGUUCCCGGGGCUUGUACACACCGCCCGUCACGUCACGAAAGUCGGUAACACCCGAAGUCAGUGGCCCAACC